GACCGACGGAAGAUCGGGGAUGACCGGCGUAUCCACCAUGAUCGGUGCUGGGUCGACGGCCGAAGCAGGAUCGUCGAUCGGCGGGGGGCUGACAGUCGGCGCCGGGACAGGAGUCGCAGCCGUCUCUCCUUCGGCCACUUGUCCCUGGACGGCCUCCCCCGCCACGGCGAUGCCUCCCGAUGACGGGUCGGCCAUCUCUUCAGUGACUUGGUCGCCGGCCCCCGGCGGGACGAUACUGCUGAGGUCCAGCUCUGGGUACAAGGCUUGGACCGCAUCCCGACCGUCCUCGUACCCCACC
rnacentral:lncRNA from 1 species